rnacentral:lncRNA from 1 species
AGAAAUCUGAGAUAGGAGGAGAGAACGAUCCAAUGACGAAGAACUCCUUUUUUAUUUUCAGCUCUUCCCACUCAAAAGAUAAAAUCCUAACUAAGGGCCAGACAGAACUUACCAUCACGAACCCUAGAAGGAACUUCUCUCAUCACCCUUUUUUACACAAAGCCAUCAUCCUUCUAUAUCAAGCAUGUAAUUACCUUGAUCAGUAAUUAUGUGCAUGAAAAAGUAUAAGGGAACGCGGGUUGAAGGGCCAAAGACUAACAAGUAACAACACAAUUGUGCGUGAAAUCUCUCAAUGAACAGCAGAGUGAUUGAGAGAAAACCCCAACUCUGAACCAGAAGAGCAGAGAAACCUUU